rnacentral:rRNA from 1 species
ACGUAGGUGGCAAGCGUUGUCCGGAAUUACUGGGUGUAAAGGGUGCGUAGGUGGGUGCACAAGUCAGAUGUGAAAUCCCGGGGCUUAACCCCGGAACUGCAUUUGAAACUGUGUGUCUUGAGUGGAGGAGAGGUAAGUGGAAUUCCCAGUGUAGCGGUGAAAUGCGUAGAUAUUGGGAGGAACACCAGUGGCGAAGGCGACUUACUGGACUCUAACUGACACUGAGGCACGAAAGCGUGGGGAGCAAACAG